UCCUCUCUUUCAGUCCCCUGACUGUAGAUACUGUUGUUUAUGAUUGGACGCACUGGUUAAGAUUAACCUCAGAACCACGAGCAUGAGCUUUGAACUCAGAGGUAUGAUAGAACAAGUCAGCUUAACCCGUCCUGGUGAGAUCAUAAAAAGCCAAACACUUAUCAUCAUAUGAGAGAUAUCAGGUAUGUCUUUAUCAAUCUUAGUUUGCGUAUGUUCUUUU
rnacentral:lncRNA from 1 species